AUACUUACCUGGAUGGGGUCAAUGGGCGAUCAAUAAGACCCAUGGCCUAGGUUUGUGACCUCCAUUGCACUUCGGAGGGGUGCCUACCUAAGAUCGGCCCAAGUGGUUGAGCCUACGUCAUAAUUUGUUAUAGCUGGGGCCAGCGUUCGCGCGGCCCCUUC
rnacentral:snRNA from 2 species